GACGAACGCUGGCGGCGUGCUUAACACAUGCAAGUCGAACGGAAAGGCCUCUUUCGGGGGGUACUCGAGUGGCGAACGGGUGAGUAACACGUGAGUAACCUGCCCUUGACUUUGGGAUAACUUCAGGAAACUGGGGCUAAUACCGGAUAGGAGCUCCUGCUGCAUGGUGGGGGUUGGAAAGUUUCGGCGGUUGGGGAUGGACUCGCGGCUUAUCAGCUUGUUGGUGGGGUAGUGGCUUACCAAGGCUUUGACGGGUAGCCGGCCUGAGAGGGUGACCGGCAGCAUUGGGGUUGAGAGAAGGCCGGGAGUGCUGCGGGCGGAGGCAGUGGGGGAUGGUGAGGCAUGGGUGAGAGCCUGAUGCAGCGAAGCAGCGUGGGUGAGGAUGGACGUCGGGUUGUAAACAAAGUGCGCCAGGGACGAAGCGUGGAGUGAGGGUAGAUAGUGAAGAAGCACCGGCUAACUACGUG
rnacentral:rRNA from 1 species